rnacentral:rRNA from 1 species
GAUGAACGCUGGCGGCGUGCUUAACACAUGCAAGUCGAACGGGACUAUUUUAGAUUGAGGCUUCGGCUGAUUGAAGAUUUAGUCUAGUGGCGGACGGGUGAGUAACGCGUGAGCAACCUGCCCUUCAGUGGGGGACAACAGCUGGAAACGGCUGCUAAUACCGCAUAUUGCAUAUUGGUCGCAUGGCCGAUAUGUGAAAGAUUUAUCGCUGAAGGAUGGGCUCGCGUCUGAUUAGCUAGUUGGUGGGGUAAUGGCCCACCAAGGCGACGAUCAGUAGCCGGACUGAGAGGUUGAACGGCCACAUUGGGACUGAGAUACGGCCCAGACUCCUACGGGAGGCAGCAGUGGGGAAUAUUGGGCAAUGGGCGCAAGCCUGACCCAGCAACGCCGCGUGAAGGAAGAAGGCUUUCGGGUUGUAAAGCACUUUCAGCGAGGAGGAAGGCCAAUAACUUAAUACGUUGUUGGAUUGACGUUACUCGCAGAAGAAGCACCGGCUAACUCCGUGCCAGCAGC